UAGUCUAAUUGGCUAGGACACUUGCGUGUAAAGUAAGCGAUCCGGGUUCGACUCCCGG
rnacentral:tRNA from 1 species